rnacentral:rRNA from 1 species
ACGGGGGGAGCAAGCGUUGUUCGGAUUUACUGGGCGUAAAGGGCGGGUAGGCGGCCACUGCAAGUCGGUUGUGAAAUCUCCGGGCUUAACUCGGAAAGGUCAAUCGAUACUGCAGGGCUAGAGUGCAGAAGGGGCGACUGGAAUUCUCGGUGUAGCGGUGAAAUGCGUAGAUAUUGGGAGGAACAUCGGUGGCGAAGGCGGCUACCUGGACGGGUACUGACGCUGAUGCGCGAAAGCUAGGGGAGCAAACAGGA